rnacentral:tRNA from 1 species
GGGGACGCUCAGCUAGUCAGAGCAGAGGACUCCAUAAUCCUCCGGUCGCGGUUUCGAGCCCCGCCCGACCUG